AGAUUGAACGCUGGCGGCAUGCUUUACACAUGCAAGUCGAACGGUAACGCGGGGGCAACCCUGGCGACGAGUGGCGAACGGGUGAGUAAUACAUCGGAACAUGCCCUGGAGGUGGGGGAUAGCUCGGCGGAAAGCCGGAAUUAAUACCGCAUACGCUCUGAGGAAGGAAAGGCGGGGGUACUCGGUAAGGGCCUCGCGCUGGCGGGAGUGGCCGAGUGUCGGUAUUAGCUAGGUUGGUGAAGGUAAAGGCUACACCGAAGGCGACGAUCCGUAGCUGGUCUGAGAGGAUGAU
rnacentral:rRNA from 1 species